GACGAACGCUGGCGGCGUGCUUAACACAUGCAAGUCGAACGGAAAGGCCCCCAUCUUGGUGGGGGUGCUCGAGUGGCGAACGGGUGAGUAACACGUGGGUGAUCUGCCCUGUACUUCGGGAUAAGCUUGGGAAACUGGGUCUAAUACCGGAUAGGACCAUGGUUUAGUGUCUCAUGGUGGAAAGAUUAUUGUUUUGGUGCAGGAUGAGCUCGCGGCCUAUCAGCUUGUUGGUGGGGUAAUGGCCUACCAAGGCGUCGACGGGUAGCCGGCCUGAGAGGGUGGACGGCCACAUUGGGACUGAGAUACGGCCCAGACUCCUACGGGAGGCAGCAGUGGGGAAUAUUGCACAAUGGGCGCAAGCCUGAUGCAGCGACGCCGCGUGGGGGAUGACGGCCGUCGGGUGGUAAACUCCUUUCGUUAGGGACGAAGCCGCACUUUUUUGGGGUGUGGUGACGGUACCUUUGUUAAGAAGCACCGGCUAACUACGUG
rnacentral:rRNA from 1 species